AGUGAACGCUGGCGAUAGGCCUAACAUAUGCAAGUCGAACGGCAGCACAGUAAGAGCUUGCUCUUACGGGUGGCGAGUGGCGGACGGGUGAGGAAUACAUCGGAAUCUACUUUUUCGUGGGGGAUAACGUAGGGAAACUUACGCUAAUACCGCAUACGACCUACGGGUGAAAGCAGGGGAUCUUCGGACCUUGCGCGAUUGAAUGAGCCGAUGUCGGAUUAGCUAGUUGGCGGGGUAAAGGCCCACCAAGGCGACGAUCCGUAGCUGGUCUGAGAGGAUGAUCAGCCACACUGGAACUGAGACACGGUCCAGACUCCUACGGGAGGCAGCAGUGGGGAAUAUUGGACAAUGGGCGCAAGCCUGAUCCAGCCAUACCGCGUGGGUGAAGAAGGCCUUCGGGUUGUAAAGCCCUUUUGUUGGGAAAGAAAAGCAGCAGGUUAAUACCCCGCUGUUCUGACGGUACCCAAAGAAUAAGCACCGGCUAACUUCGUG
rnacentral:rRNA from 1 species